GAUGAACGCUAGCGGCAGGCUUAAUACAUGCAAGUCGAGGGGCAGCACGGUUAGCAAUAACUGGUGGCGACCGGCGCACGGGUGCGUAACACGUAUACAAUCUACCUUAAACAGGGGGAUAGCCUUUCGAAAGAGAGAUUAAUACCCCGUAAUAAAUUGAACGGCAUCGUUUGAUUUUGAAAGCUCCGGCGGUUUGAGAUGAGUAUGCGUCUGAUUAGCUAGUUGGUGAGGUAACGGCUCACCAAGGCGACGAUCAGUAGGGGAUCUGAGAGGACUAACCCCCACACUGGUACUGAGACACGGACCAGACUCCUACGGGAGCAGCAGUAAGGAAUAUUGGUCAAAUGGGAAGGCAACUCUGAACCAGCCAUGCCGCGUGCAGGAUGACGGCCCUAUGGGUUGUAAACUG
rnacentral:rRNA from 1 species